AAGAAGCAGAGAGGGUGGAGACCUCAGCACCAGGGGAGAGCACGAGGCCCCAGCCACCCCCAAGCCUCUCCCGCCACCCUGGGUCAGGCGAGAGGAGAGACACGUUAGGCAAGGCAGGCCCGGCGGCGUGUGCACUGCUCUGGUACCACAAGAAGUGACAUCCUUUCCUCUAAAAGCCUGGAGAGAGACUGCCGCGGCCUAAAAGGGAAAGGGAAAUUUGGACACAGAGACGUAGAGUGGAAGGCCACGUGAAGACAGAGAGGGAGUGAAGCAGCCACAAGCUAAGGAACACCUGGAGCACCAGAAGCAGGAAGAGACAAGGGAGGAUCCUCCCUGGAGCCUUGGAGAGGAAUCCAGGUCCUGCUGACACCUUGAUUUCCAACUUUUGGCCUCCAGAACUGGGAGAGGCCUCCACUCCUCCAUUGCCAAGCGCCCUUCUGCCCCCUCUCACCCUCUCACCUUCUCCACCUCAUCACUGGAUGACUCCAGCACCUCAUAGGGCCCAAUGCGUUGGGCGGCAGCAACCAAGCUCUCCUGCUCUUCAUCCUGGCGGACCUGUUUAUUGAGGUACCGCAGGAAUGACUCCACAGCUGCAAUCUGGGCUCUAGUUCUCGCAAUCUGAUGGGAGGCAGGCCUCGGGCCUGGCCAGAACCCUUGGCAAAUGGGACAUUGUUCUGUAGGCGGCGGCGACUGGGUUCCUAGAUGAGGAGCAAGUGAUUUCCUGGAACUCACCUGUGCGAAGGGAUGCAAUUGACCACAUGGCCAGCUCCAGCCAAUGAGAUGAAAGCAAAAGAGUCACAUGGCAAUUUCCUGAAAUGUUCCUUCUUAAGACUAUUGUCUUCAAACAGCACACUUGUUACUAAUACCAAAAUAAUUUUGGAAAACCAUAUAUAUCCUUGCACAUUUCUUAGAUGUAAACAUUUUCUUUUUAGUUUUAAAUGCAACUUUUAGCAUGUUAUCAAUAUUAACAUAAAAAAAGAUUCACUUUUAUUUUAGUGUCUCAUUUUUUAA